rnacentral:tRNA from 1 species
ACCGAUAUGGUGUAAUGGUUAACAUUGUCAUGAAUUCUUCGCGUGGCAGCUCGGGGUUCGAUUCCUCGUAUCGGCA